UUAUUUACUCUGAGGUUCUCGCGGCAAGACCCAAAUGGACAGUGAUUUGGCUGCCAGCUGGUGUUAAAAACAAGCCAACUCCAAGAAAGUUAUGGAUUACCUCUAAGUGAGAAAAAGGAAGCAUUAGAACAACAAAGAAAAGAACAAAAGACUCAAGUUCUCCAGCCCCCAAACUAAAGUUUAAGGAGAUUUCAUAACCUGGACAAGAUCACCAAGUAAAUGGUAGGGUCUGGCUUUGAACCUAAACCCUCUGGUUCCAAAGUCUCAUCUCUUAACCACUACUAUACACUCUCUUCAAAAAACAAUACACUAAAAUGUUAACAAUAGAAUUACUCUAAGUUUUACUUUUUUGGUGUGUGGAUUUGUGUUUUUGACCGAUUGUAAGGCUUAUGUGUAAUAUAAGCAUCUUUUUUUUGUUGUUGUUAAAACUAGAAUUAUUCCAUCUUUAUGAAGGCAACACUGAUCUCCACGAGCACAAUCAUCCAAACGGAGAUGGGAACCCCUGUUCUAACUCUCUCA
rnacentral:lncRNA from 1 species